rnacentral:rRNA from 1 species
GAUGAACGCUGACAGAAUGCUUAACACAUGCAAGUCGAUGGGGAAGUGGUGCUUGCACCAUGGUAACCAUGGCGGACGGGUGAGUAACACGUAAGGAACUUACCUGCGGGACCGGGAUAACAGCAGGAAACUGCUGACAAGACCGGAUAAGGUCAUUAAGCUCCAUAGCUUAGUGAUGAAAGGAGACGCCUGCUGAGAGCCUUGCGUCCUAUUAGCUAGUUGGAGGGUUAACGGCCCACCAAGGCGAAGAUAGGUAGCCGGCCUGAGAGGGUGGACGGCCACAAGGGGACUGAGAUACGGCCCUUACUACUACGGGAGGAAGCAGUGGGGAAUAUUGGAGAAUGGGGGCAAACAUGAUCAAGCAAUUCUGUGUGCACGAAGACGGUUUUCGGAUUGUAAAGAGCUUUCAGCAGGGAAGAAGGAAGUGACGGUACCUGCAGAAGAAGCGACGGCUAAAUACGUG